AUUGAACGCUGGCGGCAGGCUUAACACAUGCAAGUCGAGCGGAGAUGAGGUGCUUGCACCUUAUCUUAGCGGCGGACGGGUGAGUAAUGCUUAGGAAUCUGCCUAUUAGUGGGGGACAACAUUCCGAAAGGAAUGCUAAUACCGCAUACGUCCUACGAGAGAAAGCAGGGGAUCUUCGGACCUUGCGCUAAUAGAUGAGCCUAAGUCGGAUUAGCUAGUUGGUGGGGUAAAGGCCUACCAAGGCGACGAUCUGUAGCGGGUCUGAGAGGAUGAUCCGCCACACUGGGACUGAGACACGGCCCAGACUCCUACGGGAGGCAGCAGUGGGGAAUAUUGGACAAUGGGGGGAACCCUGAUCCAGCCAUGCCGCGUGUGUGAAGAAGGCCUUAUGGUUGUAAAGCACUUUAAGCGAGGAGGAGGCUACUGAGACUAAUACUCUUGGAUAGUGGACGUUACUCACAGAAUAAGCACCGGCUAACUCUGUGCCAGCAGCCGCGGUAACAC
rnacentral:rRNA from 1 species